rnacentral:rRNA from 1 species
GACGAACGCUGGCGGCGUGCUUAACACAUGCAAGUCGAACGGAAAGGCCUUGCUUUUGUGGGGUGCUCGAGUGGCGAACGGGUGAGUAACACGUGAGUAACCUGCCCUUGACUUUGGGAUAACUUCAGGAAACUGGGGCUAAUACCGGAUAGGAGCACCUGCUGCAUGGUGGGGGUUGGAAAGUUUCGGCGGUUGGGGAUGGACUCGCGGCUUAUCAGCUUGUUGGUGGGGUAGUGGCUUACCAAGGCUUUGACGGGUAGCCGGCCUGAGAGGGUGACCGGCCACAUUGGGACUGAGAUACGGCCCAGACUCCUACGGGAGGCAGCAGUGGGGAAUAUUGCACAAUGGGCGGAAGCCUGAUGCAGCAUCGCCGCGUGCGGGAUGACGGCCUUCGGGUUGUAAACCGCUUUCGCCUGUGACGAAGCGUGAGUGACGGUAAUGUGUAAAGAAGCACCGGCUAACUACGUG